rnacentral:rRNA from 1 species
CGGCGGACGGGUGAGUAACACGUGGAUAACCUACCUAUAAGACUGGGAUAACUUCGGGAAACCGGAGCUAAUACCGGAUAAUAUAUUGAACCGCAUGGUUCAAUAGUGAAAGACGGUUUUGCUGUCACUUAUAGAUGGAUCCGCGCCGCAUUAGCUAGUUGGUAAGGUAACGGCUUACCAAGGCAACGAUGCGUAGCCGACCUGAGAGGGUGAUCGGCCACACCGGAACUGAGACACGGUCCAG